rnacentral:rRNA from 1 species
GAUGAACGCUGGCGGCGUGCCUAAUACAUGCAAGUCGAGCGAACAGACGAGGAGUUUGUUCCUCUGACGUUAGCGGCGGACGGGUGAGUAACACGUGGAUAACCUACCUAUAAUACUGGGAUAACUUCGGGAAACCGGAGCUAAUACCGGAUAAUAUAUUGAACCGCAUGGUUCAAUAGUGAAAGACGGUUUUGCUGUCACUUAUAGAUGGAUCCGCGCCGCAUUAGCUAGUUGGUAAGGUAACGGCUUACCAAGGCAACGAUGCGUAGACGACCUGAGAGAGUGAUCGGCCACACUGGAAGUGGGACACGGACAAGACUCCUAAGGGAGGCACCAGACGGCAAUGUGCGGCAGUAGGCGAAAGCAUGGCGGAGCAACGGCGCGUGAGUGACGAAGGUCUUGGGAUCGUAAAACUGUGUUAUUAGGGAAGAACAAAUGUGUACGUAAAUAUGCACGUCUUGACGGUACCUAAACAGAAAGCCACGGCUAACUACGUG